CCCUUUGUACACACCGCCCGUCGCUACUACCGAUUGAAUGGCUCAGUGAGGCCUUCGGACUGGCCCAGGGAGGUCGGCAACGACCACCCAGGGCCGGAAAGUUGGUCAAACUCGGUCAUUUAGAGGAAGUAAAAGUCGUAACAAGGUCUCCGUAGGUGAACCUGCGGAGGGAUCAUUA
rnacentral:rRNA from 7 species